rnacentral:misc_RNA from 1 species
ACAAACUUGGUCAUUUAGAGGAAGUAAAAGUCGUAACAAGGUCUCCGUUGGUGAACCAGCGGAGGGAUCAUUACAGGGUCUAACGACUGCCCAAACCAAACCGUGCUCCUUUCCAUACCAUCUUGCUACGGCGCGCCGCCCGCUGGGGGGGCCUCUGGCCGGACGAAAGUCUGGUGGCCGCCGGAGCAAACACACCAAAACUCUACAAGUAACUUAUCUCUGAGAACUUUCUGAAUUAAAUAAUUCACAACUCAUAACAAUGGAUCUCUUGGCUCUGGCAUCGAUGAAGAACGCAGC